rnacentral:rRNA from 1 species
AGACCCGAAACCCGGUGAUCUAGCCAUGGGCAGGUUGAAGGUUGGGUAACACUAACUGGAGGACCGAACCGACUAAUGUUGAAAAAUUAGCGGAUGACUUGUGGCUGGGGGUGAAAGGCCAAUCAAACCGGGAGAUAGCUGGUUCUCCCCGAAAGCUAUUUAGGUAGCGCCUCGUGAAUUCAUCUCCGGGGGUAGAGCACUGUUUCGGCAAGGGGGUCAUCCCGACUUACCAACCCGAUGCAAACUGCGAAUACCGGAGAAUGUUAUCACGGGAGACACACGGCGGGUGCUAACGUCCGUCGUGAAGAGGGAAACAACCCAGACCGCCAGCUAAGGUCCCAAAGUCAUGGUUAAGUGGGAAACGAUGUGGGAAGGCCCAGACAGCCAGGAUGUUGGCUUAGAAGCAGCCAUCAUUUAAAGAAAGCGUAAUAGCUCACUGGUCGAGUCGGCCUGCGCGGAAGAUGUAACGGGGCUAAACCAUGCACCGAAGCUGCGGCAGCGACACUGUGUGUUGUUGGGUAGGGGAGCGUUCUGUAAGCCUGUGAAGGUGUGCUGUGAGGCAUGCUGGAGGUAUCAGAAGUGCGAAUGCUGACAUAAGUAACGAUAAAGCGGGUGAAAAGCCCGCUCGCCGGAAGACCAAGGGUUCCUGUCCAACGUUAAUCGGGGCAGGGUGAGUCGACCCCUAAGGCGAGGCCGAAAGGCGUAGUCGAUGGGAAACAGGUUAAUAUUCCUGUACUUGGUGUUACUGCGAAGGGGGGACGGAGAAGGCUAUGUUGGCCGGGCGACGGUUGUCCCGGUUUAAGCGUGUAGGCUGGUUUUCCAGGCAAAUCCGGAAAAUCAAGGCUGAGGCGUGAUGACGAGGCACUACGGUGCUGAAGCAACAAAUGCCCUGCUUCCAGGAAAAGCCUCUAAGCAUCAGGUAACAUCAAAUCGUACCCCAAACCGACACAGGUGGUCAGGUAGAGAAUACCAAGGCGCUUGAGAGAACUCGGGUGAAGGAACUAGGCAAAAUGGUGCCGUAACUUCGGGAGAAGGCACGCUGAUAUGUAGGUGAAGUCCCUCGCGGAUGGAGCUGAAAUCAGUCGAAGAUACCAGCUGGCUGCAACUGUUUAUUAAAAACACAGCACUGUGCAAACACGAAAGUGGACGUAUACGGUGUGACGCCUGCCCGGUGCCGGAAGGUUAAUUGAUGGGGUCAGCGCAAGCGAAGCUCUUGAUCGAAGCCCCGGUAAACGGCGGCCGUAACUAUAACGGUCCUAAGGUAGCGAAAUUCCUUGUCGGGUAAGUUCCGACCUGCACGAAUGGCGUAAUGAUGGCCAGGCUGUCUCCACCCGAGACUCAGUGAAAUUGAACUCGCUGUGAAGAUGCAGUGUACCCGCGGCAAGACGGAAAGACCCCGUGAACCUUUACUAUAGCUUGACACUGAACAUUGAGCCUUGAUGUGUAGGAUAGGUGGGAGGCUUUGAAGUGUGGACGCCAGUCUGCAUGGAGCCGACCUUGAAAUACCACCCUUUAAUGUUUGAUGUUCUAACGUGGACCCGUGAUCCGGGUUGCGGACAGUGUCUGGUGGGUAGUUUGACUGGGGCGGUCUCCUCCUAAAGAGUAACGGAGGAGCACGAAGGUUGGCUAAUCCUGGUCGGACAUCAGGAGGUUAGUGCAAUGGCAUAAGCCAGCUUGACUGCGAGCGUGACGGCGCGAGCAGGUGCGAAAGCAGGUCAUAGUGAUCCGGUGGUUCUGAAUGGAAGGGCCAUCGCUCAACGGAUAAAAGGUACUCCGGGGAUAACAGGCUGAUACCGCCCAAGAGUUCAUAUCGACGGCGGUGUUUGGCACCUCGAUGUCGGCUCAUCACAUCCUGGGGCUGAAGUAGGUCCCAAGGGUAUGGCUGUUCGCCAUUUAAAGUGGUACGCGAGCUGGGUUUAGAACGUCGUGAGACAGUUCGGUCCCUAUCUGCCGUGGGCGCUGGAGAACUGAGGGGGGCUGCUCCUAGUACGAGAGGACCGGAGUGGACGCAUCACUGGUGUUCGGGUUGUCAUGCCAAUGGCACUGCCCGGUAGCUAAAUGCGGAAGAGAUAAGUGCUGAAAGCAUCUAAGCACGAAACUUGCCCCGAGAUGAGUUCUCCCUGACCCUUUAAGGGUCCUGAAGGAACGUU